AAUUGAAGUGUUUGUGAAGAUGCAAUCUCCCCGCGGCUAGACGGAAAGACCCCAUGAACCUUUACUGCAGCUUUGCAUUGGACUUUGACGGGACAUGUGUAGGAUAGGUGGGAGGCUGUGAAGCGGGAACGCUAGUUCUCGUGGAGCCAUCCUUGAAAUACCACCCUUGUGUCGUUGAGGUUCUAACCUGGACCCCUUAUCGGGGUCGGGGACCGUGCAUGGUAGGCAGUUUGACUGGGGCGGUCUCCUCCCAAAAGGUAACGGAGGAGCACGAAGGUUGGCUAGACACGGUCGGAAAUCGUGUUGAUAGUGCAAGGGCAUAAGCCAGCUUAACUGCGAGACGGACAUGUCGAGCAGAUGCGAAAGCAGGUCCUAGUGAUCCGGUGGUUCUGAAUGGAAGGGCCAUCGCUCAACGGAUAAAGGUACUCUGGGGAUAACAGGCUGAUUCCGCCCAAGAGUUCACAUCGACGGCGGAGUUUGGCACCUCGAUGUCGGCUCAUCUCAUCCUGGGGCUGUA
rnacentral:rRNA from 1 species